rnacentral:rRNA from 1 species
AACGAACGCUGGCGGCGUGCCUAACACAUGCAAGUCGAACGCGAACGGUGCUUUCGGGUGCCUAGUAGAGUGGCGCACGGGUGAGUAACACGUAGACAACCUGCCUUCGAGCCCGGAAUAACCUUUCGAAAGAAGGGCUAAUACCGGAUAACAUCCUGGGUUGCAUGACUUGGGAUUGAAAGGCUUGCUACUCGAAGAGGGGUCUGCGGGACAUUAGCUAGUUGGUGGGGUAACGGCCACCAAGGCGACGAUGUCUAGCGGGUCUGAGAGGAUGAUCCGCCACACUGGAACUGAGACACGGUCCAGACUCCUACGGGAGGCAGCAGUGGGGAAUUUUGCGCAAUGGGCGAAAGCCUGACGCAGCAACGCCGCGUGAGUGAAGAAGGCCUUUUGGGGUCGUAAAGCUCUUUUCCAGGGGACGAGGCUGACGGUACCUUGGGAAUAAGCACCGGCUAACUCCGUGCCAGCAGCCGCAGUAAG